GACGAACGCUGGCGGCGUGCUUAACACAUGCAAGUCGAACGAAGUGGCGAACGGGUGAGUAACGCGUAAUCAACCUGCCCUUCAGAGGGGGACAACAGUUGGAAACGACUGCUAAUACCGCAUACUGAAGGAGGGGAUUGCGUCUGAUUAGCUAGUUGGAGGGGUAACGGCCCACCAAGGCGAUGAUCAGUAGCCGGUUCUGGAGGAUGAACCGCCACAUUGGGACUGGGACACUGCCCAGACUCCUACGGGAGGGCGCCGUUGGGGAUUCUCCGGAAUGGACGAAAGUCUGACGGAGCAACGCCCCCUGAGUGGUGACGGCCUUCCGGUUGUAAAGCUCUGUUUAUCGGGACGCGGUACCGGAAUAGAAAGCCACGGCUAACUACGUGCCAGCAGCCGCGGUAAUUC
rnacentral:rRNA from 1 species